UGUGGAUUUCAUGGGGGUGAAGACCCCGUUUUGAACGACAUCUGUCUGGCUGGCAAUGCCCUAGGUUCUUGCCCAGAAGGACAGCUUGGGCCGGCGCGAUGCUGAAGCCGCGGAAAAGGACGUACUGGUGCUUCCCCUUCAGGACCUUCAGCUUAGCUAAGUGUGAAAAAAAAAAGUGACACCAGCAUUCAAUAAUAAUAAUACCAGUAAUAGUAAUCAUAAUAAAAAGAAAGUGUCGGCAGGUGGUCAGAGGGGUCUUGCCAGUCAGCGACCUUCUCUCUUGUGUUCCUGGUGUUUCUAAUAACAUUAACAAUGUAUUCUAGCCCUUUCUUGUGUUCUGGUGUUUCUAGUAACAUUAACAAUGUACUCUAGUCGACAGAGCCGCAGGCCAGGAACUAGGAGAGAAAGUAGGCAGCAACCUCUGACUUGCCGCUUAAUGGUCUGCUUUGGGUAAACCACUUAAACUCUGAAAACUUGUAUUCCCCACCCCAUGCCUGCACAGUCUGAUGGCGGGGCUUCCCUUCCACCACUAAGAUUUUAGGGUCUGUGCCCUCCAUACUUACUUUGUCUUUUGCUCCGAGCAUCGGGCCGGAGAGGAUUUUCUGAAGAUUUCAUUCUCCCCUUCAUGGAUGGUUUGGCCCAGCAUCCAGCCAAUCAGAAGAAGGAAUUGCCUGGGGCUAAUUGAGGAUAUUCCCCCCCCCCCCGCCCCCAGGACAGGAAGAGGUGGGUCAGUAGGAGACUGAGAGGUGAAGGUGAGUCAACCUGUUUUAAGUUUGUCAUCCCUGAUGAAAAAAAAAAAAAAUAAGAUCGUGUCUUUGCUAGGAUGUGAGUGCUAACGCUCAGGGGAGAUGGCUGUGUUCUGUACCCAGCUGGUGCCAGGUUUGGGUGUUGGGAGUACGUCGGCAGUGUUCUCUCCUUUUCCACGAGGAGGCUACGCUGUGAGGCAGCUGGGAGGUGAGAUCCCCACACCUCUUCUUUCGCUGGCAGGCUGUGUUGUAAGUGGGCUGACUUCCUUAGUCAGCCUGGAGGCUGCCCCCGUGAGCCGCGCCCACUCUCAGGCACGUUUAAGGUGAUGGAGACUUGUCAUCCUGAAACUUGGUUUGCAGCUGUUCAGAAGUCCCACAAGAUUUCCCAGGAGCAUCAAUCAAGGAAGUCUCUCCACACUCCGGACCUCGUCGUUUUUUAUUUGGGACCGUCCAAGGAGCUGGAAAGAGCUGGACCCAUGGGUCACCUUGCCAUCAUGCAGGACCAUCUACAUAAUUUGGGGAGUCCAGUGCAAGAUGAAAUGUGGGGUCCUUUGUUCAAAACUUCUCCAGAAUAGCACCAAAAAGCCCUGAACCAAGCAAGGGGCUCUUUUCACAAGGUCUGUAUGAGUGCCUGUGUCUCACACACGCAAA